AGAGUUUGAUCAUGGCUCAGAACGAACGCUGGCGGCGUGCUUAACACAUGCAAGUCGAGUGCGCGGUUGUAGCAAUACAACUGGCGCACGGCGCACGGGUGCGUAACACGUGGGUAACCUGCCCUUUGGUGGGGAAUAACCCCGGGAAACCGGGGCUAAUUCCGCAUAAGAUCCGCAAGGAUGAAAGCCGCAAGGCGCCGAUGGAGGGGCCCGCGCACGAUUAGCUAGUUGGUAGGGUAAUGGCCUACCAAGGCAAUGAUCGUUAGCUGGUCUGAGAGGAUGGCCAGCCACACUGGAACUGAGACACGGUCCAGACUCCUACGGGAGGCAGCAGUGGGGAAUCUUGCACAAUGGGCGAAAGCCUGAUGCAGCGACGCCGCGUGGGGGAUGAAGCUUCUCGGAGUGUAAACCCCUUUCGACCCGGACGAAUGCCCCGCAAGGGGACUGACGGUACGGGUAUAAGAAGCCCCGGCUAACUACGUGCCAGCAGCCGCGGUAAUACGUAGGGGGCCAGCGUUGUUCGGAAUUACUGGGUGUAAAGGGUUCGUAGGCGGUGAGGCAAGUUGGGAGUGAAAUCUCUGGGCUUAACUCAGAGGCUGCUUUCAAAACUGCUUUGCUUGAGUGUGGGAGAGGCGCGUGGAAUUGCAGGUGUAGCGGUGAAAUGCGUAGAUAUCUGCAGGAACACCCGUGGCGAAAGCGGCGCGCUGGACCAUAACUGACGCUGAGGAACGAAAGCUAGGGGAGCAAACAGGAUUAGAUACCCUGGUAGUCCUAGCCCUAAACGAUCAGGACUUGGGGUGCCACCCGUUCGGGUGUCGUCCCGGAGCUAACGCGUUAAGUCCUGCACCUGGGGAGUACGUCGCAAGACUGAAACUCAAAGGAAUUGACGGGGCCCGCACAAGCGUGGAACAUGUGGUUCAAUUCGACGCUACGCGAGGAA
rnacentral:rRNA from 1 species